CCCCUAGUAACGGCGAGUGAAGCGGGAAGAGCUCAAAUUUGAAAUCUGGUGGCCUCAGGUCAUCCGAGUUGUAAUCUAUAGAAGUGUUUUCCGUGCUGGCUCAUGUACAAGUCCCUUGGAACAGGGCGUCAUAGAGGGUGAGAAUCCCGUCCUUGACAUGAACUACCAGUGCUCUGUGAUACAUUUUCAACGAGUCGAGUUGUUUGGGAAUGCAGCUCAAAAUGGGUGGUAAAUUCCAUCUAAAGCUAAAUAUUGGCGAGAGACCGAUAGCGAACAAGUACCGUGAGGGAAAGAUGAAAAGCACUUUGGAAAGAGAGUUAAACAGUAUGUGAAAUUGUUGAAAGGGAAACGAUUGAAGUCAGUCGUGCUCUUUGGAUUCAGCCGGUUCUGCCGGUGUACUUCCUUUGAGUGGGGUCAACAUCAGUUUUGAUCGCUGGAUAAAGGCUGGAGGAACGUAGUACCCUCGGGUAAACUUAUAGCCUCCUGUCACAUACAGUGGUUGGGACUGAGGAACGCAGCACGCCUUUAUGGCCGGGAUUCGUCCACGUACGUGCUUAGGAUGUUGACAUAAUGGCUUUAAACGACCCGUCUUGAAACACGGACCA
rnacentral:rRNA from 1 species